GACGAACGCUGGCGGCGUGCUUAACACAUGCAAGUCGAGCGGUAAGGCCCUUUCGGGGGUACACGAGCGGCGAACGGGUGAGUAACACGUGGGUGACCUGCCCUCAGCUCUGGGAUAAGCCUGGGAAACCGGGUCUAAUACCGGAUAUGACUCCAUGACGCAUGUUGUGGGGUGGAAAGCCUUGUGCGGCUGAGGAUGGGCCCGCGGCCUAUCAGCUUGUUGGUGGGGUGAUGGCCUACCAAGGCGACGACGGGUAGCCGGCCUGAGAGGGCGACCGGCCACACUGGGACUGAGACACGGCCCAGACUCCUACGGGAGGCAGCAGUGGGGAAUCUUGCGCAAUGGGCGAAAGCCUGACGCAGCGACGCCGCGUGAGGGAUGACGGCCUACGGGUUGUAAACCUCUUUCAGCUCCGACGAAGCGAGAGUGACGGUAGGAGCAGAAGAAGCACCGGCCAACUACGUGCCAGCAG
rnacentral:rRNA from 1 species